AAAACACUCUUCAAGAAGUUCUGCAAAUCUUCAAUGAUUCAUCAAUCAAUAACAGUAAUAAUAAAUUUCCAAAAUUACAAAGUAUCGAAAAAACGUACUCAAUAGCUCUGGUGUGCAUUUGGAUGCAUGAAACCAAAUGUUGCAGUAGGCGUGUUUUCUAUGCGAUGCCUACAAAACACUUUGUAAAUUAUUGUCAUGU